GUUUUAGUGUAAGUAUGUCCCAUGCACUACUUGGGUCAUACUUAUACUAAAA
rnacentral:pre_miRNA from 1 species